rnacentral:rRNA from 1 species
AACGAACGCUGGCGGCAGGCUUAACACAUGCAAGUCGAACGGUUGUAGCAAUACAGCAGUGGCGCACGGGUGAGUAACGCGUGGGAACGUGCCCUUCAGUUUUGGAUAGCCACUGGAAACGGUGGCUAAUACAAAAUAUUCCCUCCGGGGGAAAGAUUUAUCGCUGAAGGAUCGGCCCGCGUUAGAUUAGGUAGUUGGUGGGGUAAUGGCCUACCAAGCCUACGAUCUAUAGCUGGUCUGAGGGGAUGAUCAGCCACACUGGAACUGAGACACGGUCCAGACUCCUACGGGAGGCAGCAGUGGGGAAUAUUGGACAAUGGGCGAAAGCCUGAUCCAGCCAUGCCGCGUGAGUGAUGAAGGCCUUAGGGUUGUAAAGCUCUUUUGUCAGGGAAGAUAAUGACGGUACCUGAAGAAUAAGCACCGGCUAACUUCGUGCCAGCCGCCGCAGUAA